CCAGGGAAAGCUCCAAGCACUGACCAGCUGCCAGCCUGCAAACCACCUAUCUGGUGUCACAGGAGUGUUCUCUGCUGACAAGCCUCUCCACAAAGUGCAGCCAUGUCUUCGGAUUCCGAGAUGGCCAUUUUUGGGGAGGCAGCUCCUUACCUCCGGAAGU